AGUGAACGCUGGCGGUAGGCCUAACACAUGCAAGUCGAACGGCAGCACAGUAAGAGCUUGCUCUUACGGGUGGCGAGUGGCGGACGGGUGAGGAAUACAUCGGAAUCUACUUUUUCGUGGGGGAUAACGUAGGGAAACUUACGCUAAUACCGCAUACGACCUACGGGUGAAAGCAGGGGAUCUUCGGACCUUGCGCGAUUGAAUGAGCCGAUGUCGGAUUAGCUAGUUGGCGGGGUAAAGGCCCACCAAGGCGACGAUCCGUAGCUGGUCUGAGAGGAUGAUCAGCCAGACUGGAACUGAGAUACGGUCCAGACUCCUACGGGAGGCAGCAGUGGGGAAUAUUGGACAAUGGGCGCAAGCCUGAUCCAGCCAUACCGCGUGGGUGAAAAAGGCCUUCGGGUUGUAAAGCCCUUUUGUUGGGAAAGAAAAGCAGCAGGUUAAUACCCCGCUGUUCUGACGGUACCCAAAGAAUAGGCACCGGCUAACUUCGUG
rnacentral:rRNA from 1 species